GACGAACGCUGGCGGCGUGCUUAACACAUGCAAGUCGAACGGAAAGGCCCGGCUUUUGUGCGUUGCUCGAUUGGCGAACGGGUGAGUAACACGUGUAUAACCUGCCCCUGUCUUUGGGGUAACUUCUGGGAACUCGGGCUAAUACCCGAUAUGAUCUCCUGCUGCAUGGUGGGGGUUGGAAAGUUUCGGCGGUUGGGGCUGGACUCGCGGCUUAUGCGCUUGUUUGUGGGGUAGUUGCGGUCCAGGGCUUUGACGGGUAGCCGGCAUGGGAGGGGGAACGGCCACAUUGGGACUGCGAGACGGCCCAGACUCCUACGGGAGGCAGCAGUGGGGAAUAUUGCGCAAUGGGCGGAAGCGUGAUGCAGAAGCGCCGCGUGCGUGAUGACGGCUUACUGGUUGUAAACAGCUUUCGCCUGUGCCGAAGAGUGAGUGACGGUAAUGGGUAAAGAAGCACCGGCUAACUACGUG
rnacentral:rRNA from 1 species